UGAACACAACCAUUUAUGGAAAGUCCUUGUAAGGAUUAGAGUUCCCAGGACUGAGUGUCGUCCAGUGCCUGGGGGUGGAUAGAGCGAGUUCCCCAUUCGGCUCCAGGACUCCAAUCAAGUCACGGCAGAAGUGCUGCGGUUUACCCUCUGCUCCAGUUAGGAAGCGGUCCUUGGCGGAGGUCACCAGCCAGGGGUACACUGAGCUCCGUUACAAUACUGUAUAAUAAGCUGUAGUGGUUCUGGUGACUAUAGUGUCCAUUUAUACAG